rnacentral:lncRNA from 1 species
UUGCUUUGGUGUUCAUAUGAUAUAAUGUUUCACAAGAAGGCGCCCAGUGUGAGCAGCAGGCGAGACAGUGAGCGGUCCAGCAUGUUGUUUUUUACAUGAGAGGAAUGAAUCAGGACUGAAGAAGAAAAAGACGAGCCCUGACGCAAGAGAGAGAGGGAGAGGGAGACUAUGAUGUGUUGCCAUGGUUAUGCAGACGCUGUGCAAAGUAUCGACAAACAUGCACGUUAGGCAAAAGAAUCAGUAUGAGGAGCAAAAAUGCACCUGAUGAUAAUUUGUUUGCUGAAAAUAUUGUUCAAUGUUGGAAAAAUACAAGAAUGGAUGAUCCAAGCCUCCACCCAGCUGCCCCCCCACUCUAUGCAUCUGCCCCUGUGGUCAAGGACACCCAUAUCAGUGGACGUCAGGGUGGGCCCAAUCCAUCAGAGAGCUGUGGGUAAUGGAAUCAACCGGUGACAAUGAUCAUCAGCACCGCAAACAAUGGCCCAUAAACAUCCCCUGACAAGUGGUCAAAUGCAGGCGAGGCAGGGUGGGGGUUGGGCAGAGGAGGGUAUGAGGGAUUGUUUGCAGCCAUGAGAGUGUGUUUAUGUCUGCAGACACGUUUGUGAGUCAGUCAGACUGGCUGUAACACAAGGCAAAGCGAUGUGGCGAAGUAGCUACGAAGAAAGACAUCUGGAUGUGCUACCUCUGGAAACAAAUGUCCUUCAUAGGUCAGAGUUCAGGCAUGCCGCAGCUCAUUGUUGAGAGUUUACUUUCCCUCACUUCUCUUUAUUGUUUUCUUUAAUAUGGGUUUUAUAUCAGAUCUCCCGGAGUGAGGGUGAAAGAAAUUGCAGAGAAAGAUUUAUGUCUGCACCUUUACCUUUUCUUAUUCAGUGUAGGAAAUUACAAAACGGAUAGACUUGAACCCGGAUUAAACACUCCUUGUUCAAGCCUAAAACCGCUUGCUUUUGCUGAAAUAGUAAAGUAAGAGUCUCUUUUGUCAGCGCUAAAUAAAUAAAAAAACCCAAUUAGAGAGAAGUUACAGAUUUCAAAGAAAGCAGGAAGGAGACUUUUCUCUCUUUUUUUUUUCAUGCCGAGUUUCCAUCGCAAGAAGUAGUUGUUGCUUUUGUCAAGCCUGGUGUUUCGUCACUCCAGUUUACUUGUCAGCUGGUUUCCGUCUCUACAACACACACACACACACGCACGCACACAUUUAAUUAGCCAUCAUUUGUCUCAGCUUUCCCUCUUUUUCCACUGUUUAUCCAAACGUCAGGAAUGACACGGGCCAAUUAGUGCAAUGAAAUAGUUUAACCCUCUCUAACACUUGGAACAGUGAAAACCAACGGGGAUAUUUGCUCACAGCUCAAGGACGUGUUUGUGUGUGUGUGUGUGUGUGUGUGUGUCGGUGUUUGUGUGUGCUGAGGUGUGAAAUAGGGGUUCAAACAAAGAGAAAGCACAACUGGAAAAAUUUGGUUUACACUUGAUAUAAACCCACCACAUAUUAAGCCUCACAAGCACAUGUACAAAACCUGUGCAAACCUGUAUAUGUGUGAAAAAAACGGUUCAUUUCAAAACAGUUUUAAAACCUGCUAUUUGAGUACAAAGGUUCAACCAAAGUGCUCUUAAUACUGUUAAGUUGAGCUUUUUUGUUUUUUUGGCACCAGAGGGUCUUUAGUGCUUGUUCCUAAAAAUAAAGAAACCAUAAAAUACAGUUUAUGAAUUCUUACAAAUGCGUUGUAGAUCAUAUAAUUGGUAAUUACCUUGAACUGCUGUCACGUUACAAAUUCGCCUAAAGUCAUGCCAAAGUAUGUUGGAGAGCUGGGCGAUCAAUCGGGUUUCAAUUUCAGGUACGAAUAUAGUCCCCCAUGAUCAGAUUAGGUACCUCCUCCAUUUCUACCUUAACAGCACAGUGUGUUCUCCACCUCUUUCACUUCAGCAUCAUGAGUUCAGAUCAGUGUGCAUCAAAGUUUGGGAGUGUGAGAAAGUUCGUGAUUUAAUUAUGAACUACCAUGCAGCUUCAGGUGGAGAGAGGAGAGGAGCAGGAGGAAGAAGGUGUGUGUCUGAAAAGCCAAGGGAUGAUAGAGAGGCUGGAGCAAUCACAAGCCUGAUUGAGCAAACACUUAACCUGAGUGCAUAUCAUCAUGAAAUAUAAGCUGUGAUGAAAUAUAAUUGGUAGUAGAGCAAAGAUACUUUGGAGUUAAAUUCCUACUUUCUUUUAUUUAGUAUUAUCAUCAAAAUGAAGUCAAAAGCUCUGAAUGAAGUGAAGAAUUGACUCUUGGUCAGUAAUGAUGCAGCCCAAGCAUGCUGUAAGAACCAAAGUGAAUUUUUCUAUACCACUCACAAAUAUUGCUACAUGCUGUCAUAAAACCAUAUAAUUGCGUCUAUAACACUUUAAAUUCAUGCGCCUCUGAUGCAUUGUAAGUGGUGGGUUUUAUAUAAAGUGUUUCUCUGUCAUUCAAUGGCUCAAUAUUAUCCUAUUUCAGGAUCAUCACACAAAAGAAGGCUUUGUUAUUGGCACACAUCACGAGAUGGUGUGAUCCAGAUAAUCAUUAUUUCAUAUUUUGUCAUUAGCAGCGAGCUAAAUUGACCCUGAGGUUGGCGAGCACUUCAGAAACGUAGAAAUCCAGGGCAACAGCUGGAUAAUGGUUGCUGCAGAGUGAUUUACUAAUUGUCUCCAGGAUUCAGAUUAAUAAUUGGCAAAGCUUUAGCACAAGUGCACAUCUAAGUACUCUUUGUCACUCACUUGUAUCUGCAGGAAAAAAAAAAAAAAAGCGGGCUGAGACGAUAUCAUUAACAGUCUCUCCAAAUUGAAACAGUCAUCAAGAGUGUCUUUUAAAUGUCUCCGGGAGCUUCUUCUUUUUCUGUUGAGUGCAAAUGACAUCUCGCUCAUUUUGCUGGUGGCAACAUGACUGAUGUGUUGAAUAAGAAAGUCCGUUUUGACGCGUUUGAAGGCUGCGGGUUUUUUGAAGUAUAUGAUUCUGAAGUGGCGGCAUAUGCUUAGCGAGAUAAGUCAUUUGACACGCAGACAUCACAGCCCUGCAAAUCUUUCGUCUGGCUGCCUUGAGUGUCCACGUCAGGCGCUUUUUCAAGAACACUUUACGACUGUCACAACUGACUGUCAGAGCGCAAACCACACAAGCAAACGAGCCUCAUUUUGAACACAGAUUAAGACAGCUGUCAUAUCAAAAAGUGUAAAUUCAUCCAGACUAAAAAUACACUUAAUUUCAUCUUAGGCGCUUUAAAAAUUAAUUUCCUAUUUAGGCACCAAAGAAUUUUCCUUUUUAGCAUCAGUUUGUUCAUUAGAGUAAUUAAAUUAAGUGCUCAUCCUCGGGAGGGAAUCAAGAUUUAACGCAGGAUUUAUUGAAAGCAACGCAGCAAUAACACAGCCACUCCAGUGAUGGAGAAGCUUCCCCUGCUGAUACUUCUCCCCCUGAAUAAGACAUUUGACUGAGACACCAACACUACCAUGCAGACAGAGUGUGCACACAAGUACGUGCUAACACACACAGAUGGGGUCAGAGCUGCAAACAAAGUCGCUGACAUUGUGGCACUUCUUUGGCAGCGUUGUGCAGGUGUCGUCUGCAAACAGGCUUCUGAAUAAAUGGAUCUGAAAUGAUUUACCUAGGGUAUCUGCCACCUGAGCACAGACACACACACACAACCCAGGCUACUUCCCCUCCUCUGCACAGACGCUGACGCAAACACACACCAAACACUGGGAGGGGAAAAAAAGAGAGGAAUCUAGCAGAGCAGCAUCCUAUUGUGUCGUCCUGACUCACAUUAUCUGACAAAUGCACAGAUUUACCAACGUGAGCUUCAUCCCAGAGGUUACACUCUGCUCCUGUGAUUUGAGCUGAUUUAUACACAUUUGUUUUCAGAUAUAAUGGAAAAUAUGACUGAGGUGGCGCUAAGAAUAGACCAUCCUCUGACCUCAGCGUCUUCAGCUGGCUCUGCAGCAUUAUCAGGUGAAAUAUCCGCUAUUAUACACUAACAGCAAGCGACGGCUCCGCGGCGGCACAGAGGACGAGUGGCUCUGGGCGAGACAUCCGGAUCACAGCCGCUGAUGUCACCUUUAAGCCGUCUGCAAUCAUCCCGGAGAAGGAAACACAACAAUGUGGUUUUUUGGUGAUAAAAUGCAGUGUGUGAGUUCAUAAAUAACACAUAUGUCAACUGUUGUUGUUCAAGCUGAACAUGCAAACAUAAAACCAACCUGAUAUCAAGCUUCGUCUUUGUCUGAUUAUGAACAACAUAUUUUUUGACAUAGACGGUAAAAAUGUGGUGACUUAGAGGGUUUAGACAAAAGGUGAAGUCCAUUUUUGGCCAUUUUUUUAUGAAUGGCUGACUCAUAUUUUUACCUAAAUUUUCCAGCUCCAGAGUAUCGCCUUUAUUUUCCAGUGUGCCUGUUUACAAGCUAAUUUUCUACUUUGACUUUUGAACCUUGACUAUUUUAUUUGAUGGACAGUUGAAAAAUAUUUGGGUGGAAAGAGAAGGGCGUGACAUGCAGCAAAAGGCAGUUAAAGCCUGCCGCCGUCUCUCCUGACUGGAUGCUUGCUUUAACAACACAACAAAUCUGGCGCCACACAAACAAAACUAUAAAUUUCAUCAGAUUAGUGCGGCUUUCAUGUGAGUGUGCAUGAGUCAUUUUGCAACCACAGUUUAUUUUAUGUUUAACCUUUUUUAAACAGGUGCUAAAGCCCGUUCAACUACCCUGAAUAAGUUUACCCUCCUGAGAAAUAAGGCUGGUGCAGAAAUGCUACACUGCAGUUCCUUGAGGGUCCACUUGAGGCUGCACCAAAUAAAAAUCAGAAAAGCUGAAUGGAAGAGCGUCUUCAGUGUAAGUGUUUUUUUUCACAGCGUAGUGACACAACCCACGGUCCACAUGAUCUGUUUACCUGAUCAAAACAAACCGUGUUAGCAACUGAAGGGGCGGCUGAGCUGAAAUAACAAACUCUAUACACAUCACUGUGUCCGCCGGUUAUUUUAGACUUUUGUUUCUUAUUAUUAUGCACCACUGAGAUGCUAAAAUAAGAAAACUCCAAAUGCAUCAGUGAUUGGUAACAUCAUAGAGCAUGUAUGUGCAUCUGCAAACCAGUGUUUAAGGUGUGUUUGGGUCAGAGUCUCCUUAAAAUUAGCUUGAUUAAGAGGCAGAAUUGGCCCUAUCUGCAGAAAACUGUAGCAUAUCUAGCAUCCUGUUUCUGCCUGCAGUUUCUCAGUAAAGUGUUUAAAAAUAUCAAAUCAGUUUAGUUUAUCAUGAAAGUUGUAGAGUAAGGUGCAGAAUUACUUAAGAUGAAAGAAAUAAGUAUAAAAAAGGGGGUGUUCUUUAUUC